GCGCCGGUGGUGUAAAGCGUAGCAUCGCUGCCCGGAAGGGUGCGGGUUCGAGUCCCGCCUGGCGCA
rnacentral:tRNA from 1 species